rnacentral:rRNA from 1 species
UACGGAGGGGCUAGCGUUAUUCGGAAUUAUUGGGCGUAAAGGGCGUGUAGGCGGCCGCGUAUGUCCCGAUGUGAAAGCCCUCGGGCUCAACCGGGGACUGCAUGGGAAACGGCGGUGGCUUGAGUCCGGGAGAGGAGGAGCGGAAUUCCCAGUGUAGCGGUGAAAAUGCGUAGAUAGUUGGGAGGAACACCGGUGGCGAAGGCGGCUCUCGUGGACCGGUACUGACGCUGAGACGGCGAAAGCCAG